rnacentral:rRNA from 1 species
UAGGGAAUCUUCGGCAAUGGGGGCAACCCUGACCGAGCAACGCCGCGUGAGUGAAGAAGGUUUUCGGAUCGUAAAGCUCUGUUGUAAGAGAAGAACGAGUGUGAGAGUGGAAAGUUCACACAGUGACGGUAACUUACCAGAAAGGGACGGCUAACUACGUGCCAGCAGCCGCGGUAAUACGUAGGUCCCGAGCGUUGUCCGGCUUUAUUGGGCGUAAAGCGAGCGCAGGCGGUUUAAUAAGUCUGAAGUUAAAGGCAGUGGCUUAACCAUUGUUCGCUUUGGAAACUGUUAAACUUGAGUGCAGAAGGGGAGAGUGGAAUUCCAUGUGUAGCGGUGAAAUGCGUAGAUAUAUGGGGGAGCACCGGUGGAGAAAGCGGCUCUCUGGUCUGUAACUGACGCUGAGGCUCGAAAGCGUGGGGAGCAAACAGG